rnacentral:rRNA from 1 species
AGAGUUUGAUCAUGGCUCAGAACGAACGUUGGCGGCGUGGAUUAGGCAUGCAAGUCGAACGAAUCCCUGGGGCUUGCUCCAGGGGGAAGUGGCGAAAGGGGCAGUAAUGCGUGGGUAACUUGCCCCGGGGACCGGCAUAGCCCUUCUAACGAGGGGGUAAUUCCGGGCGACGUCAUGCGGGGGCAUCCCCGCGUGACCAGAUGGAUUCCGCCCCGGGAGAGGCUCACGUGCUAUUACCUAGUUGGUGGGGUAACGGCCUACCAAGGGUGAGAUGGCUAGCGGGUGUGAGAGCACGACCCGCGCCACUGGCACUGAGACACUGGCCAGACUCCUACGGGAGGCUGCAGUCGAGGAUCUUCGGCAAUGGGCGCAAGCCUGACCGAGCGACGCCGCGUGCGCGACGAAGGCCCUCGGGUUGUAAAGCGCGAAAGUGACGAGGAAAACUGACCGAGUCACAGUAAGCACGGGCUAAGUUCGUGCCAGCAGCCGCGGUAAUAC